UUUGAUUUUCGCCAAUACGGAGAUUCAAUGGAUCCGGUCGGACAAGGAUUACGCAAUUGCUUCUCGAAGAAGAGGACAACGAUCUAAGAGAACAAUAAAG